GACGAACGCUGGCGGCGUGCUUAACACAUGCAAGUCGAACGGAAAGGCCUUUUCGGAGGUACUCGAGUGGCGCACUGGUGAGUAACACGUUGGCGAUCUUCCCUGCACUCUGGGAUAAGCCUGGGAUACUGGGUCUACUACCGGAUAGGACCGCACCUUAGAUUGUGUGGUGGGAAGUUUUGUCGGUGUAGGAUGAGGCCGCGGCCUAUCAGCUCGUUGGUGGGGUAAUGGACUACCAAGGCGGCGACGGGUAGCCGGACGGUGAGGUUGGUCGGCCACAUUGGGACGGAGAUACGGCCCAGACUCCAACGGGAGGCAGGAGUGGGGAAUGUUGCACAAUGGGCGCAGGCCUGAUGCAGCGACGCCGCGUGGGGGGUGACGGCAUUGGGGUUGUAAACUCCUUUCGCCAGGGACGAAGCGUUUUGUGACGGUACCUGAAGAAGAAGCGCCGGCUAACUACGUG
rnacentral:rRNA from 1 species